AGUAAUACAUAAGUAACCUGCCCUAGACAGGGGGAUAACUAUUGGAAACGAUAGCUAAGACCGCAUAGGUACGGACACUGCAUGGUGACCGUAUUAAAAGUGCCUCAAAGCACUGGUAGAGGAUGGACUUAUGGCGCAUUAGCUGGUUGGCGGGGUAACGGCCCACCAAGGCGACGAUGCGUAGCCGACCUGAGAGGGUGACCGGCCACACUGGGACUGAGACACGGCCCAGACUCCUACGGGAAGCAGCAUG
rnacentral:rRNA from 1 species